rnacentral:tRNA from 1 species
CGGCACGUAGCGCAGCCUGGUAGCGCACCGUCAUGGGGUGUCGGGGGUCGGAGGUUCAAAUCCUCUCGUGCCGAC